AAAAACAUGAUCUUCUCUCUGAUACCUCCUGGCUACAUGGCUGUGGUCAAAUUACUUAACCUCUCACUGCUGCAGGGGAAAAGACACUUGAAGAUCAAGGGGAAAAAACUGACCAAGGAUUGAAGACUGAACAUAUUCUCCUGGAGGGUUGUACUGAUCUCAGAAAAUACAAGAUCUAGAUAGGGAAGAAACAGUGGAUCCCAGCCUCUUUUAUUACUUGGAGCAGAGAGAAACACUGAAAUAGGAGAGAACAGACUUGCAGCAGAGCUUGAGUUAUCAAACAUAGAAAGAUACCACUGAAGAUAUGAGAGAAUUUUGUUUUAAUAAUUGACAAGCCUAGUGGAAGGAAAGUAGCUUGGGAGGGCAUGAUGAAGAUAUCAUCAGAUGAGCACACUCUGACCUAUACUUCCUUUAUGACAUCAUGAAUUUGGAAAUUGUCCAUGAGAGCCAUAGGACAGCCAGAAAAGUGAGAAUGAAUAUGAAAUCUGCUCAUAAUAUAGCUGAUGUCUUCCAGAAGUAAGAAGGAAAGAAUGCAAAGAAUAUAGGAUAGCAACCCAGAAACUUGAUGAGGAUCGAGUGGUAAUGUCCCUAGAGAGUUUGCUUUUAAAAAUGCACACACAAGGAAACUCUCCAAGACACAGUAAUAGCUGAGACUCUUACAGCCAGAUUUAGAUUCCUCCAUCUGUUGCAGCAUGCAAAAGAAAUUGGUCUAUGAAAAUGGUGUUGCCAGAUCAGGAAAUAAACUUACAAGUGAAAGGAUUACAGUGUUUGUCUCAAGCCAGGCAAAGCUUCACAGUUCAGAAAAAGCAGAAACUGCUUCUAGUAGUAGUACAAAAAAUAGAUCUGAUUAUGCAAAACUCCAUGUGGCAACAGUUGUUUCAGGAAGACCCCCCAUCAUUACCACCACCAGAACCUUUUCUGAAAUGACUGCUUGGGACAUCUGUGCGACAUUAUGGAAAUACUGAAGAGACUUUGUAAGACAAAACUUCAUCUAAUGGGGAGAUAUGCUGCAAUUUCAACUCUUGUAUGGCUCUUAGAACCUGGAAGAAAGCAAAACAAG
rnacentral:lncRNA from 1 species